GCGACAGCAAAUGGCGGACGUGGCAGUGUUUUAACAGUGACUCAUUUAUUGCUAAAGACUGACCGCUAUGGCUAAAUAACCAUCAUAAUUUAAUAUUAUAGGUUUGAUGGCAUUGCGACGUUUUUUCGGUCAAAAACUGUGCGCAUAUUUGGGAUAAUUCACGCCAAUGUAAAUAUUAAAAUCUUAACAGUAAUUGUCAUCACCAGAUUUCUGUGUUGGUUACCAAUAAUAUCAGUAACACAAAGUUUAUGCCGUCCAUCAUACCUAUAAUUGUAA